GUAAUCUGUGAAUAUAUUUGUAAAUCAUCAUUUGUGUGUUUUGAAAGUUGCAUAUAUACCUUUGCUCAGAGGAAUAACAAAUAUUUGAACAAUUGUUAUAAAACUUAUAGAUCUGUUAUAAACCUCACCAUCAGCUCAAAGAAAUGAAUAAAGAAUGGACAGAAGACUCAGAAAAUUAUGAUGUGAUACCUCCAAGCUGAAGGAAACGGGGAAGGCUAAAGAAAAAGAUGGAAUGUCAAAAGCAAAAAGUUUCAGGGAUCUCAGGAUAGUUAAUGGAAUUACCGAACUAGGUAAAAGAUAGGCAUAGGACUACGCUGAAAGGCAUUCAAAAACUCAAAAUUCGUUGCCAUCUUGUAGAAAAUAUUACCUGUGUGCACUUUGCUAAUAGUCGCUUCAUUAAUUAAAUAACUGGUUUUUAGCAGUGGUUGGAGCAAUAACAACGAAAUAGAACCCAAUGCUGCAAAGAUCAACUUACUUUUGUGAGAAAACCAUCAAGUUAACCGAUAUCCAGAGAAAGUUAAUCGAUAUCUGGAAAUAUCCAGACGAAACUGUGUAAUCGGGAUAUGAAGUUGCUAUGAUAAUAAGUAACGGCUCAUGCAUCUGGCUUCAAAAAAGAGACAAAAAGGCGUCUCUAUAUUCCUCUGAGAUUAAAGGUUGGUUAGUAUGCUGCUUCAGACCCUGUUCUCCUAAUCCCAAAGAUCAGGAGUUCAAGCCCUAAGCUUAGAAAGUAGUGAUGAACUAAGGGAUAAACAAUCAAUAGUGAUGUGGCUGAAGUGAUGAUGGAACACAGCAACACCAAGUCAACAUAAAACAAAACCGUUU